CUUGGAACUGGUGGGGGAAAGCAAGUGGGAAAAUUUGAGAGUCUGACGAGAGGCACUGGAGGGUAAUGGAAAGAGCGUGGACUUUGAAAUAAGAGAAUUUCACUUCUGGUUUUGUCACUACUUUCUGAUUUUCCCAGAGCUAGUUAUUAUAUAAAGUUUUCUGAGCACCAGUUUCCUCAUUUCUCAAAUGAAGCUCACAGUGCCUAAUUUAUAAUGAACCAUUGUGAAGAUCACAGCGAAAGGUCAUAGCCUACUAAACUCAUCUCAAGACUGAAAGGUGAGACAGCUGCCUCCAUAUAGAUUAAUUAUCAGGGAUGGGAAUACCUGUGUCAAAAUAACUGUUGUGGAAAAUUCUUGCUCAAAAAGAGCCUGUGCUACAUGUGGGAAGAAGAUGAAGCCAGGAAUCCUAAGAUGAGAACCUUAAAACCUAGCUGGGAACAGAACACAUAUAUGAGCAUGAAAAUCUGACUUUAUGUAUGCUUGAAAAUGUGAUUAUAAAAUGACAUACCUCAUUCUUCUAGGGAAUGCAGUAAGAUGAUAACUGUGGGGAAUGUGGUGAAGCACACCUUCUUAGAAGAGCAACUUACCUAAUUUAGCCAUCUUUUCAGAAUGUUUUCUGUUCUGAAAAGAAUAAACUUUAUUCCCACCAUCUGCAGCAGAGCCAUUUUUCAAGGAUUCUAAAAGAGAAAAUGCAAUAUGUUUUGGAAAAAUAAGCAAUAAUAACAGAAAAAAAUCUUUACUAAAAACCUAAGAU